UCCGAAUUGGUGUAGUGGCCAACAUUUGACGCUCUCAUCAAGCUCUUCACCUCCGGGGUUUAGAGCUUAUCAGUGCCGUCAAGCCCGGGGUUCGAUUCCCCGAUUCGGAG